GCGAGCGGCGGAUGGGGUGAGUAACACGUGGGGAACCUGCCCCUAAGUCUGGGAUACCAUUUGGAAACAGGUGCUAAUACCGGAUAAUAAAGCAGAUCGCAUGAUCAGCUUUUGAAAGGCGGCGUAAGCUGUCGCUAAGGGAUGGCCCCGCGGUGCAUUAGCUAGUUGGUAAGGUAACGGCUUACCAAGGCGACGAUGCAUAGCCGAGUUGAGAGACUGAUCGGCCACAUUGGGACUGAGACACGGCCCAAACUCCUACGGGAGGCAGCAGUAGGGAAUCUUCCACAAUGGACGCAAGUCUGAUGGAGCAACGCCGCGUGAGUGAAGAAGGUUUUCGGAUCGUAAAGCUCUGUUGUUGGUGAAGAAGGAUAGAGGUAGUAACUGGCCUUUAUUUGACGGUAAUCAACCAGAAAGUCACGGCUAACUACGUGCCAGCAGCCGCGGUAAUACGUAGGUGGCAAGCGUUGUCCGGAUUUAUUGGGCGUAAAGCGAGCGCAGGCGGAAAAAUAAGUCUAAUGUGAAAGCCCUCGGCUUAACCGAGGAACUGCAUCGGAAACUGUUUUUCUUGAGUGCAGAAGAGGAGAGUGGAACUCCAUGUGUAGCGGUGGAAUGCGUAAAUAUAUGGAAGAACACCAGUGGCGAAGGCGGCUUCUCUGGUCUGCAACUGACGCUGAGGCUCGAAA
rnacentral:rRNA from 1 species